UCCCAUAUUGUCUAGUGGUUAGGAUACCUGGUUUUCACCCAGGAAGACCAGGUUCAAUUCUCGUUAUGGGAA
rnacentral:tRNA from 1 species